rnacentral:rRNA from 1 species
UACGUAGGGGGCAAGCGUUGUCCGGAAUCAUUGGGCGUAAAGAGCGUGUAGGCGGUCCGAUAAGUCGGUUGUGAAAGUCAAGGGCUCAACCCUUGAAUGCCGACCGAUACUGUCGGGCUAGAGUCCGGAAGAGGCGAGUGGAAUUCCCGGUGUAGCGGUGAAAUGCGCAGAUAUCGGGAAGAACACCCGUGGCGAAGGCGGUUCUCUGGGACGGUACUGACGCUGAGACGCGAAAGCGUGGGGAGCGAACAGG